rnacentral:rRNA from 1 species
AACGAACGCUGGCGGCAUGCCUAACACAUGCAAGUCGAACGAGACCUUCGGGUCUAGUGGCGCACGGGUGCGUAACGCGUGGGAACCUGCCCUUAGGUUCGGAAUAACUCCCCGAAAGGGGUGCUAAUACCGGAUAAUGUCUUCGGACCAAAGAUUUAUCGCCUUUGGAUGGGCCCGCGUUGGAUUAGCUAGUUGGUAGGGUAAAAGCCUACCAAGGCGACGAUCCAUAGCUGGUCUGAGAGGAUGAUCAGCCACACUGGGACUGAGGCGCGGCCCAGACUCCUACGGGAGGCAGCAGUGGGGAAUAUUGGACAAUGGGCGAAAGCCUGAUCCAGCAAUGCCGCGUGAGUGAUGAAGGCCUUAGGGUUGUAAAGCUCUUUUACCCGGGAUGAUAAUGACAGUACCGGGAGAAUAAGCUCCGGCUAACUCCGUG